rnacentral:rRNA from 1 species
GACGAACGCUGGCGGCGUGCUUAACACAUGCAAGUCGAACGGAAAGGCCCUGCUUUUGUGGUGUGCUCGAGUGGCGAACGGGUGAGUAACACGUGAGUAACCUGCCCUGUACUUUGGGAUAACUUCAGGAAACUGUGGCUAAUACCGGAUAGGAGCUCCUGCUGCAUGAUGAGGGUUUGAAAGUUUCGGCGGUUGGGGAUGGACUCGCGGCUUAUCAGCUUUUUGGUGGGGUAGUGGCUUACCAAUGCUUUGACGGGUAGCCGGACUGAGAGGGUGACCGGCCACAUUGGGCUUCAGAAACGGGCCAGAGUGAUACGGGAGGAAGCAGUGGGGAAUAUUGCAAAAUGGGCGGAAGGAUGAUGCAGCAACGCCGCGUGCGGGAUGACGGCUGUAGGGUUGUAACCAGCUUUAGACUGUGAAGAAGAGUGAGUGACGGUAAUGGGUCAAGAAGCACCGGCUAACUACGUG